rnacentral:misc_RNA from 1 species
CCAAUAGCGUAUAUUAAAGUUGUUGCAGUUAAAAAGCUCGUAGUUGAAUUUCGGGAUUGGCGCAUCGGUCGUGCCUUACGGGGUAUGAACUGGUGCAGUCAAGGGCGCACCUUCUGGAGAACCGCGAGGUCCUUAAUUGGGGGCCGCGGGGAAGCAGGACCUUUACUUUGAAAAAAUUAGAGUGUUUAAAGCAGGCAUUUUUGCUUGAAUACAUUAGCAUGGAAUAAUAAAAUAGGACGGCAUGGUUCUAUUUUGUUGGUUUCUAGGACCACCGUAAUGAUUAAUAGGGUUCGUUGGGGGCAUUAGUAUUCAAUUGUCAGAGGUGAAAUUCUUGGAUUUAUUGAAGACUAACUACUGCGAAAGCAUUUGCCAAGGAUGUUUUCAUUAAUCAAGAACGAAAGUUAGGGGAUCGAAGACGAUCAGAUACCGUCGUAGUCUUAACCAUAAACUAUGCCGACUAGGAAUCAGACGAUGUUAAUUUUUUAAUGACUCGUUUGGCACCUUACG